rnacentral:rRNA from 1 species
UACGUAGGGAGCAAGCGUUAUCCGGAUUUACUGGGUGUAAAGGGAGCGCAGGCGGCACGGCAAGCCUGAUGUGAAAGCCCGCGGCCCAACCGCGGGACUGCAUUGGGAACUACCGGGCUGGAGUGCCGGAGAGGUAGGCGGAAUUCCUAGUGUAGCGGUGAAAUGCGUAGAUAUUAGGAGGAACACCAGUGGCGAAGGCGGCCUACUGGACGGCGACUGACGCUGAGGCUCGAAAGCGUGGGGAGCAAACAGG